UCAGCUAACAGAUGUGCAGGAAUGUCCUCGGCUCGCCAUCGCUUUUCUCUCCAGCAGAAUAUGACUGACAACAGAACACCAGGGAACAGCUGGGUCGAAACGCAUAAUAUUUUCCUGCUAGAGAAGGAUGCUGAUUAGGCUGCGGAGUACCUAAUUGGGUCUUGGCCUUGAAUGAUGGAAAACUAAAGCCAGGAGGAGCACACCAAUGAGCAGCACCAUGUUACCAGCAGAGGUUCGGUGGCUGGAGGAGCGGAACAUUAGCACAUCCCUAAGGCCAGGAAGUUCAUAUGAAGUUUCUGAACCUCCACUUCGGCCCUUAGGGAGAAACAGCCCGGAAAUAAGGUGAAAGUGUUCUGAAAGAAACGAGGAAAUCUCAAAAGGGAAAAAAAAAAAUAGCACAUUAUAGAAAUACUGGUAAAUAAAAUAUAACCAACGAGCAGCAUGGGAAGCAGGUUUAACCCACUACACACCAGCUUUCCUGUAGUGCUAGCCAACUGAAUGCUGAAUGUAGAAUAUCAAGUAUUAUGGCUUAUAUGUAUUACUGCCAUAAAGUGUGAUACGAACAUGAAUCAAUUAAAUUAGAGGAAAAAAUAGUGCACAAAGAACAAAUGUAUGAAGUCAUUGCUCUUUGAGUCCUUUGUAAUAGCUGACCCUGAUGAAAAAUAAAAUAAAAUAACAUAAGGGCAGAGAUUCAACAAGAAAAACAACAUCAAUAUUUAAAAAGUUAGAUUUUGGAAAACUGUUGUGGCUCAAGGGGCUUUUGUUGUACAAUUCUGCAUUCGUGUGACAGAUGCAAUUGCCAGACCUUCCCUUGGUCUACAGGAAACCUGAAAGUGAUCAAUAUUUUAUUGGUACAGAUACGUAAAUUUACCUAGUGCUUUAAAACACCUCUAAGACCAAAUCCAGAGGUGCUGAGGAACUCUACUCUUAGGAGACUGAAGUAGAUGUUGUGUCUUUGGAGCUUCUUGAAACAGUGCUUUACAAAAUCAGAGCUCUUUGUUUCAGAUGCGGACAAUGGCAGUUCCAACCCAACCCAUGACCUCUGCCUUGAAACAUGGUGGGUCAGCCAGGAGGUGAGGAGGUGGGGUAAAGCAGAUGAGCUGGAUGAGGAAUACGGUGACAAACUAACUGGUGGGAAGAAGUUGCAGAACAGUGGAGAUCCCACCGCCAUUCAGCCAUGAUGGAGGACGUGUUUUCAGACACAGCCCACUCCUCCUGCCAAUUUGCUGGGGUUGCAGAAGAAAGAGGAGGAAGAGGAGAAGGAGGAGUGGCCAGUGGUGGUGGUUGCUCUGGCUGCAGCAGCUGUGGAGGCCCUGCUAAUACAGUAACUUCCUUAUCUCAGGAAACCCAAGUGGCUCCAACAAGAGAAACAGAGUAGGACAAUCCAGGAGAAGACAGCUGACUGCAGUGUUUACUAGACUGCGGAAUAGACAACUUACAUUGUUAAAAUUGAUCAGAACAUGUUCCACUGGAACUAAGCAGAUAAGAAUUACUUCAUUCUUUUUUGCCCCUGAGCACCCUAGGAGACCUGUGUUGGAUCUGGGCUUUGUCUGCUUGAAAAAGUGGAAGGGUUGACCUGCUGAAGGGAGAGCCACCAAAGCGCUCCAACAUUACUAUGGUCUUAUAAUGCCUGAGACAGAUCACAAGAUUAACUCUUAUAAUCAACAACAAGAUCAUCAAUUUGUACACUAUAUAAAUUAAAGUGCAUGCAUAUAAAUCUGCAACCUUGAAUAAUACUGUCACAGCUUCUGCUUUGUUUGUUUUGUGCAGCUUCUUGCUUUGACCAUUUCUUGCUUUGACCAUGAAUAUGCCUGCUGGGUCUGGUGCAUGAAAUCCCUUCCAAGUCCUCCCUUUUGCUUCACGAUGAUGCAGAAGGUGACUCUUCAGUAAGUAACACAAAAUGAUUUUAGACUUGUAUAAAUAAUAUACACGUUCUGUCUCCCUUUGAUUGAAUGAUGAAUAGCAUUUAGAGGGAUUGAUUUGCCGGCAGGAGCACUCGGCGGUGGCUGGAACAGCUUGUUCUGCCCUUGGAUCUCCCAAAUGAGUUCCGCAUCUCCCGCAGCUUGGUCUUCUGGUGCUCCUCCAGCACUGCACAAGUGCUUGGCCUUGGCUUGGUCACCUUGCCCCAACACACCCGUGUCUCAUGUCCCUGCCUGCCCAAAACGCCUUGCACGGCAGCUCGAUCUGCUGCUCAGAUGGCACCCUCUUUAUUUUCUUUGAUAUUUAACAGAAAAUAAUUCUGCAGUGAGCUUUAUUUAAGCAGCAGGAUAGAUUAAAAAAUGAAAUAUGUUUAGCAAGAUUUGGGGGAAAGGCUGGAGUAAUUAAUUUUCAAUAAUACCUGGCAUUUCUAGAACUCCUUUCAUCCCGAGAUCACCAAACAGUUUACAGACAUUAAUUAAUUAAAGCAUUAUGAUGCCCCAGUGUGGGGCCAUUGCCUGCAUGUCUGACUCAGACAAACUCUCCCCAAAUCCCCGGACGGGCAAGCGCUGUGCACUGCGGUGUCUGCACCAGAACUAUACCCAGGAGUAAAUACCGCUCAGCUUUCCUAAGGUUUGCACUCUGUGGCCCUACGUAAAUAUUUUCCAGUGAGUUUGAUUAUUUGUCUUUUAUUCUCUAUCAGGAAAGCCCCAAAUAUCUCAGUAAUAAAAUUUCCAGCGUGUGUGUGUGCAGGAGGACAGUUCUGAUGGUUAUUUUUUUGAUUCAGCUUCACAUUAAAACAUCUCUGCUCUUGAAACUCCCAUUGCAGGCUCAGAGCUGGACAUGUAUUUUAAGGUUUGAUUUUGGAGUGAGCUUGCUGGGCAUUUUUGACAGCACAGUAAAUUCCAUGGGAAGAGAAGAGGUGUUCAAUGUUCACCCAGAGGGAUGCGCAUAGCGUCACACUCCUGGAAAUCACCCUGAAGUACAAGUUCAGUGAAAUCUUAUGAAAGCUGUAGAUUAUACAAACUUUCAUCACUCCAAUGAUUUGAUUCAUGAACGCAUAAAUAGAUAGAUAGAUAGAUCCAUCAAGGAAAUCCCAAGGGAACAAUGCAAUGGUGUUUGUGAUUGGAAAAAUAUUAUAAAAGAGCUCACGUAGAGCCAAUAGUUAGGCAGUUUUGUAGCGCCAAGAUAAAUAGAGAAGAAAUAGCAUUUCAUGAUCACAUUUUUAAAGGAUGUUGGAAGUUACCAAAGCAGGGGAAAUCCUGUAGGGAUUGCCUAUACUCAGGUGUGUUCCCUUGUG